AGCUUGGAGAGGCCAGUCCCAGCUGGGCAGCCUCAGGGCAGAGCUCCAGGAAGAUUCUCCCCACCAUGGACUGGCUUCCCUUCUACCUCCUGCCCCUGGUUUUCUCCACAGGCUCCUGUGCUUGGGUUGUGCUGACACAGCCCCCAUCUGCGUCGGCCUCCCUGGGAGCCUCGGCCAAGCUCACCUGCACCCUGAGCAGUGAACACAGCAACUUCUUCAUUUUCUGGCAUCAACAGGCACCAGGGAAGGCCCCUCGGUAUGUGAUGAAGGUUAACAGUGACGGAAGCCACAGCAAGGGGGACGGGAUCCCCGAUCGCUUCUCAGGCUCCAGCUCUGGGGCUGACCGCUACUUAACCAUCUCCAACCUCCAGUCUGAGGAUGAGGCUGAGUAUUAUUGUGAAACAGGACAUACAAUUGAUGGCCAAACCCGUUAUACCACAGUAACACAGACAAAGGGGAAGUGAGGCCAAAACCUCCUUCCAUUCCCUUUGCCCUACGGGGACACAGGGUAAGCUGAUCUCUGUCCGUCUCCAUGAUCCUGAGGCCUUUGCCGCUUCCCCUUGCAAAUCCUAUCAUCCUACCCCCUCCCGGAGACACCACAAGGGAGAGCUCCUGGUUCCAACAGGGUCAGUAUGUCAUCUGCUGCCAUGUUACUGUGACAAAUUAACAAUAUGAAGAAGUA